ACCUACGGGGGGCAGCAGUGGGGAAUAUUGCGCAAUGGACGAAAGUCUGACGCAGCGACGCCGCGUGAGGGAUGAAGGUUUUCGGAUCGUAAACCUCUGUCAGGAGGGAAGAAAGCGUAUGGCGCCAAUCAGCCAUGCGUUGACGGUACCUCCAAAGGAAGCGCCGGCUAACUACGUGCCAGCAGCCGCGGUAAUACGUAGGUGGCAAGCGUUAUCCGGAAUGAUUGGGCGUAAAGGGUGCGUAGGCGGCAAAAUAAGUCUGAAGUAAAAGGCGUUGGCUCAACCAACG
rnacentral:rRNA from 1 species